AACGAACGCUGGCGGCAUGCCUAACGCAUGCAAGUCGAACGAACCCUUCGGGGUUAGUGGCGCACGGGUGCGUAACGCGUGGGAAUCUGCCCUUUGCUUCGGAAUAACAGUUAGAAAUGACUGCUAAUACCGCAUAAUGACUCCGGUCCAAAGAUUUAUCGCCUAAGGAUGAGCCCGCGUAGGAUUAGCUAGUUGGUGAGGUAAAGGCUCACCAAGGCGACGAUCCUUAGCUGGUCUGAGAGGAUGAUCAGCCACACUGGGACUGAGACACGGCCCAGACUCCUACGGGAGGCAGCAGUGGGGAAUAUUGGACAAUGGGCGAAAGCCUGAUCCAGCAAUGCCGCGUGAGUGAUGAAGGCCUUAGGGUUGUAAAGCUCUUUUACCCGGGAUGAUAAUGACAGUACCGGGAGAAUAAGCCCCGGCUAACUCCGUGCCAGCAGCCGCCGUAAAAC
rnacentral:rRNA from 1 species